GCGAGCGGCGGACGGGUGAGUAAAGUCUGGGGAUCUGGCUUAUGGAGGGGGAUAACCAUUGGAAACGGUGGCUAAUACCGCAUGAUGUCGCAAGACCAAAGUGGGGGACUUUAGGGCCUCACGCCAUAAGAUGAACCCAGAUGAGAUUAGCUAGUAGGUGCGGUAAUGGCGUACCU
rnacentral:rRNA from 1 species